AGCCCUUUCAUUUUUACCAGUGUCUUGCCUGGGCUGAGAAAGUAAACGGUCUGAGGCUGUGUCAGCAGCUGAGCAGGAGACCCAUAGAGAAAAGCCACAAGUCUUCAGGAAGCUGUGAAUGACUCAGCCAGUGGUGCUGGCUACCUACACCUUCGUUCAGUACCCCAUGACGGCAGCAGAGGUGCUCCUCUGCAGCCAGUCCAUCUUAGGAGUGAAGUGCAAACCUCUGGCUGCUGGUUCUCGGUGGUCAUGGGAAGACUGGAGAAGCUUUUCCAGAUGUCAGCGUUUAUUUGAGCCCUAAAGCCACUCCAUCUCUUGUUGGGUGCUGCAGUCUCUUUCUGGGCUCACCACUGGAGGAGCAGAUGGCUGUGACAAAGAGCAGGUGGCUUCCCAAGGGGGUCAGCCUGUGCACAUCGUGCUUUCUGCACCAUCUCCCUUAUGGCCAAGAAGGCUGCUCCUGUGGGAAGAACUAAACUGUCACAGGAGAUUGACUCAUAGAAUCAGUAAGGUUGGAAAAGACCUUUAAGAUUGACUCCAACUGUACCCCAGCUACCACCACCACUAAACUGUGUCCUGAAGCACCGUAUCUACAUGUGUACAUGACUCCAGCACCUGCCUGGGCAGCCUCUUCCAAUGUUUGACCACUCCUGCAGGAAAUAAACUUUUCCUAAUGUCCAAACUAAA